rnacentral:rRNA from 1 species
UACAGAGGUCUCAAGCGUUGUUCGGAUUCAUUGGUCGUAAAGGGUUCGUAGGCGGCGCGGUAAGUCGGGUGUGAAAUCUCGGAGCUUAACUCCGAAACUGCAUUCGAUACUGCCGUGCUUGAGGACUGGAAAGGAGACUGGAAUUUACGGUGUAGCGGUGAAAUGCGUAGAUAUCGUAAGGAAGACCAGUGGCGAAGGCGGGUCUCUGGACAGUUCCUGACGCUGAGGCACGAAGGUCGGGGGAGCAAACGGG